CCUGCCCUACGGGGGGCAGCAGUAGGGAAUCUUCGGCAAUGGGCGAAAGCCUGACCGAGCAACGCCGCGUGAAUGAAGAAGGCCUUCGGGUUGUAAAAUUCUGUUAUAAGGGAAGAAAGGUGAUAGGAGGAAAUGACUAUCAAUUGACGGCACCUUAUGAGAAAGCCACGGCUAACUACGUGCCAGCAGCCGCGGUAAUACGUAGGGGGCAAGCGUUAUCCGGAUUUACUGGGUGUAAAGGGAGCGUAGGCGGCAGUGCAAGUCAGAAGUGAAAGCCCGGGGCUCAACUCCGGGACUGCUUUUGA
rnacentral:rRNA from 1 species